GGAGAGGUGCCCGGAGUGGCUUAUCGGGUGCCUGGAGUCAGUCUUCAGGUGGGGCCUCACGGCCCACGCAGGUUCGAAUCCUGCCCUCUCCG
rnacentral:tRNA from 2 species